rnacentral:rRNA from 1 species
AGCUAGAGUGCAGGAGAGGAGAGCGGAAUUCCCGGUGUAGCGGUGAAAUGCGUAGAUAUCAGGAGGAACACCAGUGGCGAAGGCGGCUCUCUGGACUGUAACUGACGCUGAGGCACGAAAGCGUGAGGAGCAAACAGGAUUAGAUAGCGUGGUAGUCCACGCUGUAAACGAUGAGUGCUAGGUGUAGGAGGUAUCGACUCCUCCAUGUGCCGGAGUAAACGCAAUAAGCA